rnacentral:rRNA from 1 species
AUUGAACGCUGGCGGCAGGCCUAACACAUGCAAGUCGAACGGUAACAGGAAGCAGCUUGCUGCUUUGCUGACGAGUGGCGGACGGGUGAGUAAUGUCUGGGAAACUGCCCGAUGGAGGGGGAUAACUACUGGAAACGGUAGCUAAUACCGCAUAACGUCGCAAGACCAAAGAGGGGGACCUUAGGGCCUCUUGCCAUCGGAUGUGCCCAGAUGGGAUUAGCUAGUAGGUGGGGUAACGGCUCACCUAGGCGACGAUCCCUAGCUGGUCUGAGAGGAUGACCAGCCACACGGGAACGGAGACAGGGUCCAAACUCCUAGGGGAGGGAGCAGUGGGGAAUUUUGCACAAUGGGCGAAAGCCUGAUGCAGCCAUGCCGGGUGUAUGAAGAAGGCCUUCGGGUUGUAAAGUACUUUCGGCGGGGGGGAAGGGAGAAAAGUUAAUACCUUUGCUCAUUGACGUUACCCGAAGAAGAAGCACCGGCUAACCCCGU